rnacentral:rRNA from 1 species
AUUGAACGCUGGCGGCAUGCUUUACACAUGCAAGUCGAACGGUAACAGGCCGCAAGGUGCUGACGAGUGGCGAACGGUUGAGUAAUGCAUCGGAACGUGCCCAGUCGUGGGGGAUAACGCAGCGAAAGCUGUGCUAAUACCGCAUACGAUCUAUGGAUGAAAGCGGGGGACCGUAAGGCCUCGCGCGGUUGGAGCGGCCGAUGUCAGAUUAGGUAGUUGGUGGGGUAAAGGCACACCAAGCCAACGAUCUGUAGCUGGUCUGAGAGGACGACCAGCCAAACUGGGACUGAGACACGGCCCAGACUCCUACGGGAGGCAGCAGUGGGGAAUUUUGGACAAUGGGCGCAAGCCUGAUCCAGCAAUGCCGCGUGCAGGAAGAAGGCCUUCGGGUUGUAAACUGCUUUUGUACGGAACGAAACGGUCUGGGUUAAUACCCUGGGCUAAUGACGGUACCGUAAGAAUAAGCACCGGCUAACUACGUGCCAGCCGCCGCCGUAA